rnacentral:rRNA from 1 species
UACAGAGGUCUCAAGCGUUGUUCGGAUUCAUUGGGCGUAAAGGGUGCGUAGGCGGCGCGGUAAGUCGGGUGUGAAAUCUUGGAGCUUAACUCCGAAACUGCAUCGAUACUGCCGUGCUUGAGGACUGGAGAGGAGACUGGAAUUUACGGUGUAGCGGUGAAAUGCGUAGAUAUCGUAAGGAAGACCGGUGGCGAAGGCGGGUCUCUGGACAGUUCCUGACGCUGAGGCACGAAGGCCAGGGGAGCAAAC